GUUUCACCUCCAGCCAAUGCAGCCUUUCUCAUGGGGCUGUGAAGUUUCUCCCAAACAGGGCUGCACCAUAAAUAAAGGAGCACACCGUGUUCCCAGGGCUGCCUCUCACCUCCGUCCACUGCGUUACAGGCCUGGAGUCUGGGCGAAAGAAGAUUGUAUAUGAGAUGAAAAAGACGAGGAUGACUUGCAGGCAGUGAGAUUUUAUUUUUAAAGUAGGUACAGUUUGCAGGCAGCUGGCAUCAUCUCAGAUUUCAUUUGGAAACUAUCUACUCCAAUUUGCUCUACAAAGAAAAGAGAUUAGGAUUCUAUUUUUGUUUGAUUCUAGUCAGACCUUUCCCUUCCCUUCUACCACGCACACAUUGAGACAAAGAUGCACACACGUACACACCUACUCACCUCAGUUAGUGUCUAAUUUCAAAUGUGUUUAAGGCUCAUAUUCUGCUAAAGAGUCAACAUAGAUCCAUUAUUUAGUAGAUAAAUAUAAGAUUGAUUGGCUGGAAAAGACUUUCACUGGUGGGGAAAUGGCUGCAGGUGCCCUGCUGCAGGGAAACCACACCUGAAAACACAGCUGAUGAGUAGUCAUAGUAGAUCUUGCCGGAGGUAAACUCUGACUUCUGUUUUCUGCUGAGUUACUCAUGCACUGCAAAGUAACUGCAGACGUGUUCCUUUGCAGAAUUUAUCUGUUUUCAGUUGCUCGUUGGUGCCCACUGUACUAUGGCUCACAUUAGAACCAGACCUAAAAAUGACCCAUAUCCCAGAGAUCUUCUGUCCCACAUGGACAGGAUUAUAGCUGGGCAAGGGAAAAUGCAGGAAAAUACUUCCUCCCAGCUGCCGGUGGCCAGCCAGGGAAGUAACAACCAGUGUGAUGUGGUUCUGGUGGUUCUCUGUGUGUAUUCACAAAGGUGUCGGCUAGAAAUAACCUCUGAAUGUCUCUAGUCCAGCGUCCUGCCUGGAGCAGGACUGUGGCCACCCUGGAUGAAGCCAGCCUUGACUUUGUCUAGCUGAGCUGGGAAAAACUCCAAGGAUGGCGGCUGGAGCAGGCUAAUACAGCACUGCAGCACCAUUCUGGUGAAGCAUUUUCUCCAUCUUUCCAUCCUGAACAUCUCAAGCCACAGACAAGGCUAUUGUCCUGCGCUUGGGAGCAGUUUGGUCCCUUAAUUGCUUUAACUGUCUUUGCAGUAGGCUGCUAUCAGCUUGCUCCUUAGCCUCCCCGUGGCCAGAAUAAAACAAGCCCAUCUGCCUCAGUGUCUCCUCAUGGGGACUCAAGGCCUGUGACCCUCCCCAACUUCCCUACACCUUUCUUGAACCAUAUGUAAUAUUCCAGGCAUGACCUCACUCAUGUCAACGAGAGGAGGGAGGAAACUUCUUCUGACCUGGUGGCCACAUUUCAGCUAACAUAGCCUGGUGUGUGGUUUGUCUUAUCUGAGAUGAGAGCAUAGGUUUGGCUCAAGUCUGGCAUAGCAUUCUCUGCCAUUUUUGGCAGGGCCACUGGCCAGGCAGAUGCAUUCCAACCUGUACCCAUGACAGGGGUUAUUGCAGCCCUUUUGCAGACUUGUGCAUAUCUUCUUGUGGGCUCCUUGUCUUUCUUCCCUUUUAUAGCUACCCUUUGUGUGCAUCUAUGUAUAUAUGUAUGUACAUAUAUAUCCAGGAAAACAGCUUUAUGAGAAACUCAAAAACUGCUGGGAUCUGGGAAGCAAAAUCUGAGGGGAUACAUGAAACAAAAAGCUGCAGUAGCAACAUCUAUUGUGCAACUGAAAUUGUCCUUAUGACUGACAGGACACACUAAUCAAAUGACCCAGAGGCCCCAGCCUGCAACUACAAAAGGGCUGAGCUGUAAAAGUGCUAGUGUUUCCAAUACAGAUAGGUCUAAAACUUCUCAACAUCUGUAAAUAGGUUUAUGUGGAUCUCCUUUCCCUUAACUUCACCUUGCACUAGAGCAGACCUGGCUCCUUUGCUCAGCCAUGCAAUCCACAAGCAGUCCACAAGCCCUCAGCCUCUCCAGGGCAGCUUCCACAGCGGGGCCACUUCCAGCAUAGGCAGCAAAGAGGAGAAAUGGAAGGCUGUUGGUCGUGUCAGGGCACUGUAGAACAAACAGCAGAUGAAGAAGAGUAGCUCCUCCCAGCUGCCCCAGGGCUGGGUGCAACUGCUUAAAGAUGGAGCCCGACAGGCAGGUGAUUUAGAGCAGUAAAAUACCCAUGAAGUUUGGUGACCUGAAUUCAACCAAGUCGUUUCAACCCCUCCUAACAGCCUGUUGCCAAAGUCGGGUACAUCCCACCCCUGUGCACCUGACACCAAGCCAGGGCAGGUGCUGUGGGACCCUGCAGGCUGCAGGACAGAGCCCCUUGUUCCUUUUGUCGCACCACAGAGGUUUAGUUACUCUGAGCUGUUGUUCUCCGUGUUAAUCAUCUGUGACCAAGAUUGUGCUCCCUUCAAGCUGUGCCUCCCUUUUAAGCUGUGCACAGGUCAAACAUCUGCUCCAGGCAGCUGAAUUGUGUAAUUAAUGACUUUUUUUAGCUAUGUUGCAAAGUUCUUUAAGUCUCCAGCCUCCUCUCUGCCCUAGUGCUGCUGCUCACCAGUGCUCCCAUCAAGGGGCUGAUACUGUUCCAUGUUGCUUCUCUAGUUUAGGAUUACAUUAGUAUUUGCUAAACAGUCAGUCCCUGUGUAAGGAAAGAGCAUUUUGCUCUAGUAAUUACCAAGUGCGUGAGAGCACUGAAGAAGGAAAAAAGGGAGGAAGCCAGCACAGCCCUCUUCUUACCCUUACAAUACUGUUUGCCUUCGAAGACUUUUACAGCUCAUGUUCUCCUAAAGUGUAGCAUCCACCAGCUUUUCAAACGCAGAAAGACAUGAUCUGCUUCAGCAGCAUGGUUUCUAGAAGCACUGAGCGUGGGGGAGGUUGGGCGCAAGUAGAGUUUUGUUGUGACAGAGCUGUCAACAGAGCAGCUGCUUAUAGCAUCACAGCUUGGCAAACCCCCGCCUAUUUAACUGCUUUCCCUUUUGGCUUUGCUCUGCACCUCCCAGCUCCGGAAGGCCAGAGUAAAAACUUUGCUGGUGCCAGAGUGUUGUUUUGAACGGGGCAAUGCUGCAGCAGAACAAUUAUCACCCAGAAGGUAAUUACAGGUGGCCAUGAGUGCAAGAGCUCCAGUGGCACUAGAAACAAAAGCUGGGGAAUGCAAAUGGGUGAUAGUUAGAGGUUGUGAUGCCCCGAGGAGAUUCACGAGACUGUCUCACAGCCAUGAGUGGAGUUGCCCAGUAAGCUGUAAAAUACGUAUCACCUUCUUAUAGUCUGCUAAUGCAAAGUGCUUGUGAGCCGAAGUGUGCAUGGCUGGAAAUGGGGAUGAGAGGAGCUGCACACGCAGUGGCUGCUGCAAAGACUGGCUGUGCCAAGUUGCUACAUUAUGCAGAGUGGUCUUGCGUGAUGCUUACUGGGUAGCAAACUCAGACAGUGAAUGAAGCCACCCUUAACAAUUUUUUUGGUUGUGAGUGAUUCCUGUACACCACAUCGCUGAGAGUUAAUAUUUGCAUGUUUAUCCUAUAUUUUGCCUUACAAAAAAUAUUUUUGUAAGUGCUUCAGCCUCAUCAUUUUCAGCCGCUGUCUCCAGGACACCCCUCUGCAAAGCCCAUGCGCAGCUGCGCAGUGCAGCCAGGCUCAGAUGCAGUGGGAUGACCCGCAGCAGGACGCAGGUGCUGCCCACCUGGUUUGGGAUUCGCCUCACCUAACUUGGAGCAAGCCACCCUCAUCUCCGCUCACAGCUAGCCAACAGAGACCGGCAGAGACUGAUGUGCCUCACUCCAGAGCAGAUGUCAGAAGGAGAUCAGCUGUAUCACACCAUGGACCUGCCUGGUUUUCAUUCAGUGUGAAGGGAACGUGACAACUUGUCCCAGCGAGGGGCUUGGAGCCAGGCAGCUCAGCCUGACCCAGGUGUUCCCGCGGGUCCCAUCAGCAGCCCAGCUCCCCCAUCUCUGCCUAUGGAAACGGCAACACUCACCACAUCAGUUCCCAUCAGCGUAUGCCUGUUUCUGGCAGGACCAUCCUCUCAGGCUUCGGGGACAAGUGUUCCCAGAGAGUCCAAGACCUCCAUCAGGGCAGAAGGUGACUGGGAAAAUGGUCUGACCCAGCUUGAGCAAUGCACAGUGACUCUCCAGCCCUGCAAAGUGCCUCUGAGGGCACUGCGGUGCCCAUAGCAAUGACAGCCUGCACUCCUCGUUGAAGGACUGGUGGGGUAACUGGUGGCAGGGCAGCAGCUGAUGGUGUGAUGCUGACAAAGUCAUCCUGCCAUGAAGCUGUCUGGGAAUUUUGUCACUGCUGGGAUCACGCUGGGCCAGCUGCCUGCUAACAAGCACCGUCAGAGGGAUGUCACCUUCACAAGGAAAGGCUAAAUGACAUGGCAAAAAAACCCACAAAUAAACAACAGGAGAGGGCUUUUUUUAAAAAAGCAUCAAAGAAACAGACCUCAGUUUGCUUCGAGCUGAAUCAUGAGCCUUAGGCUGCUGUACAGAUCUGCAGGGACAGACAGGCAGCAGUGGUGACAGUUCCCUGGGAAGCCACUGCUGGCCUGUCACUCCAUAUAUUCAGCAUUUUGUCACAAGACAGGGAUUCACUGGGUGACAGAAGGGGAUUUCAUCAUUAUGUAAGAGCAGGACCAUCAGAGGAGGCUGUGCUUCAUGUGAACUGAUUCAAACCCCAGGUAGACACCCCGGCUCUCAAAAUGAGGCAAUUUUUCCCAAUUACUGCUGCACCAUUUGUAAGCCCUCAAGAUUUACACUGAAGAUAACGAGAUCAGGCUCCUAUGGAGCCGGUCACUGCUACUGUCCUGCAGAAAAUGGUCUCCAGAAUGCAGGCGGAGCACGGUCUCCUGGCAAGGUGUGCUUGGCUCUGGGAUCAGCCAUGUCCUCACCUCCUCAGCAGCCAGACCUUGGCCACCAGUCCCUGGAGCAGAGCCAGUGGCCUGGAAGUGUGUUUUCUCUAUUCCUCCUGGAAAUGGCUCCGGACAGCAUGGUUUUACACACUGAACAUUACAAAUAGCUUGUAUCCAUGAUAACAAACUCUGGAUGGGCUCUCUGCUGAGAAGAGGCUCUGAUCCCAAAUUCCCUGCCGUGCUGGGGGGAUGUGACCAAGUCCCUUACUCCAGGGACAUGUCACACAGACACUCGCUUACUCCAGAGAUGCUGUCCUGGCUGCAGGAUCUUGCCCAGCCAUAGGUGAGCAUUCAGCCCAGCACAGCUUACAGAACUUACUGAUGGUUUUAAUACCUUCCACUAAAAAAAAGGCAUGUGCAAACUGAAAAGAAACAAGUAAACAAGUUUGUUGAAGAACAGAAACUUUUGAAAAAUCGUUCAUGCCUCUAUCUCUUAAUUUUUUACUCCCUGCAUUAAAGUGCCAGUUGAACACAUGUAGCAAAGAACAGCCUGCCAGGCUUGGUUUCUGGCACCGUUUAUAACUGCCAGCUAAUUGUGUUGAAUGAUACACCUACUUGCUGUAUUUGAUAUUCAAAUAAAAAACAAAACAUAAGACAA